UACAGAGGGUGCAAGCGUUAAUCGGAAUUACUGGGCGUAAAGCGAACGUAGACGGUUGGAUAAGUCGGAUGUGAAAGCCCCGGGCUCAACCUGGGAAUUGCAUUCGAGACUGUUCAGCUAGGGUGCGGAAGAGGGAAGCGGAAUUUCCGGUGUAGCGGUGAAAUGCGUAGAUAUCAGCUGGAAUACCUGAGGCGAAGGCGCCUAUCUGGUGGUGUACUGACGCUGAGGCGCGAAAGCGUGGGGAGCAAACAGG
rnacentral:rRNA from 1 species